AGUGAACGCUGGCGGUAGGCCUAACACAUGCAAGUCGAACGGCCGCACAGUAAGAGCUUGCUCUUACGGGUGGCGAGUGGCGGACGGGUGAGGAAUACAUCGGAAUCUACUUUUUCGUGGGGGAUAACGUAGGGAAACUUACGCUAAUACCGCAUACGACCUACGGGUGAAAGCAGGGGAUCUUCGGACCUUGCGCGAUUGAAUGAGCCGAUGUCGGAUUAGCUAGUUGGCGGGGUAAAGGCCCACCAAGGCGACGAUCCGUAGCUGGUCUGAGAGGAUGAUCAGCCACACUGGAACUGAGACACGGUCCAGACUCCUACGGGAGGCAGCAGUGGGGAAUAUUGGACAAUGGGCGCAAGCCUGAUCCAGCCAUACCGCGUGGGUGAAGAAGGCCUUCGGGUUGUAAAGCCCUUUUGUUGGGAAAGAAAAGCAGCAGGUUAAUACCCCGCUGUUCUGACGGUACCCAAAGAAUAAGCACCGGCUAACUUCGAG
rnacentral:rRNA from 1 species